GUGCUCGCUUCGGCAGCACAUGUACUAAAACUGGAACGAGACAGAGAAGAUUAGCAUGGCCCCUGCACAAGGAUGACAUGCAAAUUCCGGAAGCGUUCAUAUAAAAA
rnacentral:snRNA from 1 species